CGCGCAGGCGGUUAUACAAGCCUGGUGUGAAAGACCGCAGCUUAACUGCGGGAGCGCGCUGGGAACUGUAUGACUAGAGUUCAAGAGGGGAAGCUGGAAUUCCUGGUGUAGGGGUGAAAUCUGUAGAGAUCAGGAAGAACAUCAGUGGCGAAGGCGAGCUUCUGGCUAUGAACUGACGCUGAGGCGCGAAAGCGUGGGGAGCGAACA
rnacentral:rRNA from 1 species